rnacentral:rRNA from 1 species
UACGGGGGGGGCAAGCGUUGUUCGGAAUUACUGGGCGUAAAGGGCUCGUAGGUGGCCAACUAAGUCAGACGUGAAAUCCCUCGGCUUAACCGGGGAACUGCGUCUGAUACUGGAUGGCUUGAGUGUGGGAGAGGGAUGCGGAAUUCCAGGUGUAGCGGUGAAAUGCGUAGAUAUCUGGAGGAACACCGGUGGCGAAGGCGGCAUCCUGGACCAUUACUGACACUGAAUAGCGAAAGCCAGGGGAGCAAACGGGAGUUAG